rnacentral:rRNA from 1 species
GACGAACGCUGGCGGCGUGCUUAACACAUGCAAGUCGAACGGAAAGGCCCUGCUUUUGUGGCGUGCUCGAUUGGCGAACGGGUGAGUAACACGUGAGUAACCUGCCCUUGACUUUGUGAUAACUUCAGGAAACUGGGGCUCUUACCGGAUAGGAGCUCCUGCUCCAUGGUGGGGGUUGGUAAGUUUCGGCGGUUCGGGAUGGUCUCGCGGCUUAUCAGCUUGUUGGUGGGGUAGGGGCUUACCAAGGGUUUGACGGGUAGCCGGCCUGGGAGGGGGGCCGGCCACAAGGGGCCUGAGGGAGGGACCAGAGGGGUACGGGAGGCAGUGGGGGAAAGCAUGGCGGAACAGGGGGACGUGUGAGACGACAACGCUGGGUUCGGAAUGCCGGGCUACGAGUUGAAAACCGAUGUGGAAGGAGACGAAGAGGUAGUGACGGUACCGGGUAAGGAAGCAACGGCUAACUACGUG